CCUACGGGCGGCAGCAGUGGGGGAUAUUGGACAAUGGGGGAAACCCUGAUCCAGCGACGCCGCGUGAGUGAAGAAGUAUUUCGGUAUGUAAAGCUCUAUCAGCAGGGAAGAAAAUGACGGUACCUGACUAAGAAGCCCCGGCUAACUACGUGCCAGCAGCCGCGGUAUUACGUAGGGGGCAAGCGUUAUCCGGAUUUACUGGGUGUAAAGGGAGCGUAGACGGUUAUGCAAGUCUGAAGUGAAAGCCCAAGGCUCAACCAUGGGACUGCUUUGGAAACUGUGCGGCUGGAGUGCAGGAGGGGUAAGCGGAAUUCCUAGUGUAGCGGUGAAAUGCGUAGAUAUUAGGAGGAACACCGGUGGCGAAGGCGGCUUACUGGACUGUAACUGACGUUGAGGCUCGAAAGCGUGGGGAGCAAACAGGAUUAGAUACCCUGGUAGUC
rnacentral:rRNA from 1 species